rnacentral:rRNA from 1 species
UACGUAGGGGGCAAGCGUUGUCCGGAUUUAUUGGGCGUAAAGAGCGUGUAGGCGGCCAGACAGGUCGUUGUGAAAACUAGAGGCUUAACCUCUAGACGUCGAUGGAAACCGUUGGCUAGAGUCCGGAAGAGGAGAAUGGAAUUCCUGGUGUAGCGGUGAAAUGCGCAGAUAUCAGGAAGAACACCCGUGGCUAAGGCGGUUCGUCUAGUACGGUACUGACGCUGAGACGCGAAAGCGUGGGGAGCGAACAGG